GUUCCCUGCAGCGUCUGUACUUUACUCCACCCAGGCUGCCUGAUAACAGAUGUGAUUUCCAGCUGUGUCUAUAUACCAACCAUACACACAGAUAAUGAAGCUGUUCACAAUGGCAUGAGAGUACAGAAGAGAAACUAGAGCCCAUGAAAAGGAUGCUUACCUGCCAGAGAACUCUGCAAGUCUGUGCUGUUGGAAGAAAGAGAGAAGUCUAUGGAAAGCCCUCUCUUAUACACAGAGCUGCAUUUUUCUUCUUAGGUGUGUGAAGUACAGAAGACGCUUAUCAAAGUAAUGCAUUGGACACAUCAAAAUUGACAAACGACUUACUUAACAAAAGAUAUUUGAAUGCAUCUGUUUCUACACUUGUGUGAUGCCAUUCCUUCUGCCCCACUCUUCACCUGAAUAAUUUCCAUGGGGGCUCAGCCAUGUUGAAGCAUGUAUGUCAAACUGAUGUAAGAGUUUGACAGAAAUGUAUUUGCAUGAAUUGCUGAAGAGCCUCCUGAGAGAAUACUCGUAUUAGGGUAGAAAGAAUACAGGUGCUGAAAUGAGCUCAACCCAUUAACACUAUUUAUUGAAAUAAAAAAGUGAUUCUGAGGA
rnacentral:lncRNA from 1 species